rnacentral:rRNA from 1 species
AGUGAACGCUGGCGGUAGGCCUAACACAUGCAAGUCGAACGGCAGCACAGUAAGAGCUUGCUCUUACGGGUGGCGAGUGGCGGACGGGUGAGGAAUACAUCGGAAUCUACUUUUUCGUGGGGGAUAACGUAGGGAAACUUACGCUAAUACCGCAUACGACCUACGGGUGAAAGCAGGGGAUCUUCGGACCUUGCGCGAUUGAAUGAGCCGAUGUCGGAUUAGCUAGUUGGCGGGGUAAAGGCCCACCAAGGCGACGAUCCGUAGCUGGUCUGAGAGGAUGAACAGCCAAAAUGAAACUGAGACACGGUCCAGACUCCUAAGGGAGGCAGCAGUGGGGAAUAUUGGACAAUGGGCGCAAGCCUGAUCCAGCCAUACCGCGUGGGUGAAGAAGGCCUUCGGGUUGUAAAGCCCUUUUGUUGGGAAAGAAAAGCAGCAGGUUAAUACCCCGCUGUUCUGACGGUACCCAAAGAAUAAGCACCGGCUAACUUCGUG